GAAAAGCACCCCGGAAGGGGAGUGAAAGAGAUCCUGAAACCAUGUGCCUACAAGUAGUUAGAGCCCGUUAAUGGGUGAUAGCGUGCCUUUUGUAGAAUGAACCGGCGAGUUACGAUUACGUGCGAGGUUAAGUUGAGAAGACGGAGCCGCAGCGAAAGCGAGUCUGAAUAGGGCGAUUGAGUAUGUGGUUGUAGACCCGAAACCAGGUGAUCUAUCCAUGAGCAGGUUGAAGGUGAGGUAACACUUACUGGAGGCCCGAACCCACGUACGUUGAAAAGUGCGGGGAUGAGGUGUGGGUAGCGGAGAAAUUACAAUCGAACCUGGAGAUAGCUGGUUCUCUCCGAAAUAGCUUUAGGGCUAGCCUCGUGAUUGAGAAUACUGGAGGUAGAGCACUGUUUGGACUAGGGGGGCAUCUCGCUUUACCGAAUUCAGACAAACUCCGAAUGCCAGAUAUUUAUACACGGGAGUCAGACUGCGAGUGAUAAGAUCCGUAGUCAAGAGGGAAACAGCCCAGACCACCAGCUAAGGUCCCAAAGUAAUUGUUAAGUGGAAAAGGAUGUGGCGUUGCUUAGACAACCAGGAUGUUGGCUUAGAAGCAGCCA
rnacentral:rRNA from 1 species